GUGAGUCAUCGAAUCUUUGAACGCACAUUGCGCCCGCCAGCAUUCUGGCGGGCAUGCCUGUUCGAGCGUCAUUUCAACCCUCGAGCCCGACUUCCUUGCGGAGGACGGCUCGGCGUUGGGGGACGGCACACUCCCCCCGGCUCGCCGGGGACGCCGCCCCCGAAAUUCAGUGGCGGCCCUCGGAGGCGACCUCUGCGUAGUAACUCAACCUCGCAAAGGGAAGCUCCGAGCGGCCACGCCGUGAAACCCCAACUAUAUCAAGGUUGACCUCGAAUCAGGUAGGACUACCCGCUGAACUUAAGCAUAUCAAUAAGCGGAGGA
rnacentral:misc_RNA from 1 species